rnacentral:lncRNA from 1 species
GAGGUUCCCAGGCUAGGCAUUGAAUCGGAGCUCUGCCAGCCUAUACCACAGCCACAGAAGUGCCAGAUCCGAGCCUCAUGUGCAACCUACACCACAGCUCACGGCAACACCAGAUCCUUAACCCACUGAGUGAGGCCAGGGAUCGAACCUUCGCCCUCACGGAUACUAGUCAGAUCCAUUUCCACUGAGCCUCAACAGGAACUCCAAGUUUGGCAUUUUGAAUGUGGGUCUUUCUAACUUGGGCCUCCCUCUCCAAAACCAGCCAUCACGCUACCCUGGAACCCGUAACAGGCAGCAGGGCUGCCUCCCUGCACAUCAAGCUCUCCCAGAGCCCUGGGUGUGUUACUGCAGAGACGCUCUUCGGAUGGAGAGGAUUCUGCCAGAACCACAGCAGCACCCGGGCCCCAAGUGUGCUUUGGGGUGUCGAGGACCGCCAGCCGCGUCUACACUGCCCACAGACGGCAGUGCCAGGAUACUGCACAUGUGCAGGCUAGUCCCCAACCUCAGAUCGAAAACCACCUCUCAAACACAGUCUGUUGCCAGGAGCCAAGAGACUGAGGCAGAUGCCACCAGAGAAAGAGCUGAGGUGAAGGCACAGCUGUGGUGAACCCGCAGAAAGAAGGUGCUGCACAAGGGAGGCAGAAUUUAUUUACACUAAUCACGGAUGCCGCCUCUCAGCUGGAACAUCUCACUUAAAACGCCGGAAGGUUCAGACCCCAUUCAUAAGCUCCUCAGAAAGCGUGCAGUCGCCAUGGUAACCCUAACAUUAUAUUCCUUGGCGGUGGACAUAUAAAUGACCACCUGUAAAGUAUUUAAUACAGUUUGGAGCCACCAAUUCAUAGCAAAAUAAAUCUGACUCUCAGCCUGCCUCUUCGAUAAACAAAGAGGAACAGCUGGAGGAAGUACCCAACUCACCCCAGGAUAAGGACAGGGCUCCACACACCCAAAAAUGCUCCUCUGAAGGCAAAUGAGAGCGAAGGAUAUCACCCUUCAUCAUCCACGCCACAUGGCUGAGAUUUCCUAAAACAAAGUGUUCCCUGCCAGAUUCACGCAGGCUGUCAUCGCUUAAGUUGAAGAAACAAACACAUUCACUCCAUCCACAGCUACAUCUCUAGAAUUUGACCAUGUUUAGCAAGUCAAAGAAAAGGCAGAUCUCUCUAAGGAACAUCUUUUAUCAUUUAUUUAGAGGGCAUCUGUUAACACAAAUAAGGCAGCUGUUCAAACAUCCAAACUGUCCUUAAUAAGAAAUCAAAGUUUUAUUUCCUAGGUUCAGAAGAGAUCUACUCCAUCACAAUUCUUUUCCUGCCUCAGGGAUAUUGACAAACAUUUAAAACAGACAUUAUGCCUGGUUUUUAAAGUCCCUUACCUUCUCCUAAUCCACCGUGAACACCGAGGAGAAAACAAAUCACCAUGCCCUAACUGCAAAGGCAUCUUCGGCCUCACAUUCCCGGGAAGCCCACUGCAUCAGGGCCGUGACAGAGCUGCUGCAGGGCAUGUCUGUGCUGCCAUGGCGUUCCCCCAAACCGCCUCCAUUCUCGGCACUAAUCAGCCAGGUCCAGGGAGCAUCACCUCCGUCAUGCCCUCCUGCAGACUGCAGGCCACCGGCGGCAGUGGCGGUGGCGGCUGCGAAGGCGAGCAAGAGCCCUCACGGGCCGGCCGGCCGUUUCCAUAUUAACAGGGACUUUGGCGAGCGCUGCAUUGCAGUCUUUCUGAAAGCUACCAACCUCGGAAGCAGGAGCGCUGGAGAGACUCCCCAGCACGGGAAGCUGCCUCUGGAAUCACAAAGAUUUUGGAAGGAUCUUUUUUAAAAUGUUGCAAAAACCUGGGGCAGGGGGCAGGUCUAGACUUCCAACCUGUUUCCUAAAGGCUGACGAGCUUGGGGUUUUUCCUAGAGGACGGCUUUGACAACUGAACUGAAAUUAAUGGAACGUGCCUGAUGAUACACCAUCUUUCACGCUCAAGCACUCCCUGCCAGAGUCCUGCACAGCUGCAGCCUCACACCAGCUCCAAGGCCCCUGCGGAGGAGCUACUGGGAGCGAACCAGGACUUUCGUUCCAGAAAAUGCGAGUGCAGCAAGCACUUCUAGUUCCUCUGUGGGCAGCAAUCACCUUGACCACUCAGCUACCUUCCCAGACAGUAAAAACCAUUAUGUGGUCAGAGCACUUGAAAUAGUAAACCAUUGACGCUACAACCAAAGUCAGAAAAAGACAACUUAAAAUAGCAGCGUGCUUACUAAGUGACCUUUAAUUCUGGUUCCUUCAUUCAAUAUAUUUGGUGAGCGCCGACCACGUGCUGUGUGUGAAAGGGCCUGAGCAAGACAGCGCUCACUGUCCUGAUGGUCACAGGCACUCGGUGGGUGGCAAACGGAGGACAUGUCCUUCCACGCAUGAGGACCUGCAUGCGGGAGAGGCCCGCACACCAGGGAGGCAGAGCUGGGGCAGGUCUGGGGGUCCAGGCCAGGGGCUGUGAGGAAGGCCACUGAGCAGGGGCUGAGGGGUGAGCUCCCUGCUGGGGAAGGAGAGGAACACCCUCAGAAUGACACACAGGCGCCUUGGCACGUGCUAUAUUCUUGAGUCCCCAGCAAAAGCGUUGGCAGCUCUGUUCUGAAGCCCUCCUAACCUCCAGGCAGCCUGGGGAAGGCACUGCCACCACCAAGAGCAUCUGGUGGGGGGUGUCUGCACCUGGGCACACCCUUGACGGGGCAUAUGAUCAGGCAGAGGUGCAGAGUCUGAACUGGCGGGCAGCUCUGUACCACGCCACGCGUCGACCCCUGCCCGCAGUUAACAGCCAUCUCCCAGGGAUGCUGGCCACCCCCCACCCACGGCUCCGUUCUCCCCCCAUUAGUCCUGAGCUGACACUGAGCAGGUCCUUGGUAGCAGUAGGGGGUCAGGUGAGGGACUAAGCAGUGAGGGAACGUACUGCCACGUGCUCGUGGAGAGUAGGAGAGGGCAGUGCCUUGCAAACACUGGGCUCUUCUCUUUGCUGCAAAUCCUCCGCUUCCCUUCCUCUGUCUACCUGGCCCCCUACACCGCAGGCUCCAGAAUCCUCUCCUCCACGAAGUCCUCACAGCUCCCUCCCUACCCCAGCAGCAAGGAGCCUUCCUCCGGGCUCUCACCACCCUUCACACUACAAGGAAGUGACAUUUCUGCAAGGACUGACCAUCUGGGCAGUCACCUUUGUACCCGCUGUGGCCAGAGCUUGCAGCGGGCUCUCCACGCCAGCCACAGCUGCACCGAACACUGUCCCUCUGGGAAGGCUUCCAGCAUCAUCCCCAUCUGAGGCACAGACAGGCUCACAGUCCAGAUGAGAGGGCCAGGAGUCCAAGACACCGGGUCCCAGGCUCCCCAGGCCACACCCCACCCAGCCAGGAACUGCUUUUCCAGGCACCCAGCAUCCCGUCAGCCCCACGGGAGAGGACGACGCUCGGCUGUCAGGGGCGGGAUGGGACGCACCUAAGCAAGCACUGCAGCCUUCCCGCACCGUCCCCCCUCUCCAAGGGCAGCGAUGAAAAAAUGAGUAUUUUAAACCAAACCAGAGGCACCUCGUGUGUAAAUUCCUGCCUGGAUAAUCUCACAGCACGCGGUGGGUGAUCAGAAGGCAGGAAGAAAGAGGCAGCAUGAGGGAAUUUCUCUUUGCUUUACAGAGACUCACUAGAGUGGCUGAACAGACUCAGAGGACUCUCAUCAAAGGCCUCCAGGUGCCAGUCUGGGCGCCCCCCCCCCAGAUGAUCCGUGGAACUCUGCCUCUCAGAUCAGGAUCAAGGGCUGCCCUGCAGCGGGCUCGCCCCCAGGGCCCGGGCGGCGGCAGUGCUGGCACGUGCCCCCGCCUGGUCAGCUCGGCCCCGAGCCUGGGCACCAGAAGCCUGGGCUCCAGCCUGAGAGGGCUCCCCGAGGAGGGUGUGCACAGCAAGCAAUGCCUGGAGAGCAGGGCUGACAGCUGACCUGGGGCUGAGCGCCCCUCCAGCCGCAGCAAGGAGAACUGCUUCCGGGGAGUGCACCCUGGACAGUGGGGUGUCCAGGGCCAGAGGUGGAAGGCUGAGGUGGGGGUGAGGAGGUGGAGGCACAGGACCCGCCUUCCAGGCCAACCGUCAACUGGCUGCAAACCAGGGCGGUGAGCGCAUGUCCAGCACGUGGCAGUCCCAGUCGCCAUGGGGUGACUUCUGAUUUGCUCCACUUUACAUGUGAGGAAGAUGCCAGACUUGAACAGAAGUAAUUUUUCAAGUGCACCACUGGGUGCUCAAGCAUGCUGCCCAACUGCUGGCCCUGGACUUGGCACAACCCUCCUGGUGAGGGCAGGUCCUGCUCCCCGCAUCCUGCCUCCUCCCAGCCCAUGCCUGGCGCAGGGCAGAAAGGGCACUCUGUCCCCCAACCAAUCACUCACUCUUUCUUUGUUUUUGUUUUUUGUUUUUUAGGGCUUCACCCACAGCAUAUGGAAGUUCCCUGGCUGGGGUCGAACCAGAGCUGUAGCCGCCAGCCUACACCACAGCCACGCCAGAUCCGAGCCGCAUCUUUGACCUACACCACAGCUCACAGCAUGCUGGAUCCUUAACCAACAGAGUGAGGCCAGGGAUCAAACCUGCUUCCUCAUGGAUGCUCGUCAGAUUCGUUUCUACUGAGCCAUGAUGGGAACUCCACUCACUCUCUGAAUCUGGAAUUUCUUGUCCUAUAAACCUCAGAGAAAUUCCUAUAAACUUUACAGAACUGAUUUGAUUUUUAACUAUUAUAAUGCAUAUGAAAAGUACCUGAAAGUAUAAGCCUCUCAAAAUGUAAGGCACAACUGUUACAAAAUAAAACCACUGUUCACAAAGCACUCAAUUUUUCCAAGCUGAACUUAGUUUAUUUUAUUUUAUUCUGUGGCACAUAGAGGUUCCCAGGGUAGGGGUCGAAUUGGAGCCACAGCUGCCAGCCUAUGCCACAGGCACAGCAACGCCAGAUCCCAGCCACAUCCACGACCUAUGCCGCAGCUUGUGGCAACACUGGAUCCUUAACCCACUGAGCAAGGCCAGGGAUCGAACCCACAUCCUCAUGGAUAUGAGUCAGGUUCCUAAUCCACUGAGCCGCAACAGGAACUCCU